GAUGACAGGGACACUGCCUCACCUGGGUGACGGGCUGAGUAGCAGACACAGAUGUGCGACAUGACCCAACAGGGCUCUGGGAUGUGCCGCACCCCAUCUCCAGCCCUAGGGGCUCCACCUGGGCGGAGAUGCCAGCCAGAUGUCCUGUCACAGAAGUUGUUAGCUGUGCCCUGCCAGGCCAAAGAAAAGGGGUCAACAAACCACAGACUGAAACAUCUGAAUCCAGGAACCAAAGUAAACCUCUCCUGCUGCUGAGCUGAUCGCUCAGGUGUUCGUCACAGUGAGGGAAAGCUGCCCGGUACAGGGACGCAGAUGUUCAGACUGAAGCAGUCUCCCUUCUUCCCACUGUCCGUGUGAGGGACAGGCCAGUGGAAUGGGCCUAGCUCGCCUUCAGCCAUGUCUGGGGCCAUGCAGAGAUGACACCUGAGUCUGUCCCUUGGCCGCUCCAGUGCCCUGCCCUGCCCUGCCCGGCCCGGCCCGACACUGCUCUUUGGGCCACUGCAGCCCUCUCAGCCAGCAACCUGAUGGUAGCAAGCUUUCCCGGCACUGAGCUACCUUUGCACUGUGGCUGAAGUCACCUCACCCAGCACGGCACUGAGGGUGCCUGGCCCUGCUCCCCAGUGCCCAGGAUGCCUUGCUCCCUGGAUGGCACCAAAAUCAACCUCCCCCUGCUCUCCCGAGACAGAGUCUCACUAAAUUACCCAGGCAGGACUCAAAUUUGCAAUCCUCCUGCCUCAGCCUCCUUGAGUGCUGGGAUUACAGAUGUGCACCACCACACCUGGAUAUACCCAGCCUUUUUCUAACACCCCCUUGCCAUUUACACUGGCGCCUCAGCACCCUGGCCAAGCAUAUUUCUCCUGGAGUUCCCAUUCCCACUCCCUACCUGGGCAGUGCCAGGGCACCCUGCAGACUCUCUUCGUCCACCUGGCUCUGGGAGAAGGCUGCAGACUCCCCAGGCAGUUAUGACUCCCCAGCCAGUAAUCCCCUCGGCCCCUCUGAGGCAGGGGCUCCUUGAAAGCAGGACCUGACACCUGCCAGCCAUCCAUGGCAGCCGAGUGGAGCCCAGCCACCCCACUCAAGGAGCAGACCCUCGAAGGCUGCAUGGAAAUAAUUUUUAAUAUGCUGAAGCACAUUAAAAAUGCAUUAGAAAAGCAGGCGAUUUAAAUGGAAUUCCACAGGGAAUCGUUGUCUAAAAUCGAGAGCCUCUUUUUAAUGGG
rnacentral:lncRNA from 1 species